ACAAGUAGAAGCACCAUUUUUGGAUGGAAAAAACCCUUCAGGAAAGUAUACGUAUCAAAUGUAACAUGUAGUAGUGUAACAGAGGAUGAAAAGUAAGGUUUUUACAUACAGUAUGUACAUACGUAUAUAACGUUUUUUAUUAGGAAUUUCCAACCAAGUUUGAUUACAUGUUAUAAACCACUGUAUGUAUGGUUACUAUACAUACUGUAUGUAACUUACUAGCAUACAUGACUUAACUUAGAUAAUUUUUUUGUACAUUCCAGAAUCCCAGAACCCCCUGAAUGAUGUAGGCUAUGGGGCCACAUAAAACUUUGUCCAGGGUUACAUACAUAGCACGACAACUUUAAACUACAGUACUAAAAAAUCCCAGAACCCCCUGAAUGAUGUAGGCUAUGGGGCCACAUAAGACUUUGUCCAGGGUUACAUAGCACGACAACUUUAAACUAAAAAAUCCCAGAACCCCCUGAAUGAUGUAGGCUAUGGGGCCACAUAAAACUUUGUCCAGGGUUACAUACAUAGCACGACAAC